AGUGAACGCUGGCGGUAGGCCUAACACAUGCAAGUCGAACGGCAGCACAGUAAGAGCUUGCUCUUACGGGUGGCGAGUGGCGGACGGGUGAGGAAUACAUCGGAAUCUACUUUUUCGUGGGGGAUAACGUAGGGAAACUUACGCUAAUACCGCAUACGACCUACGGGUGAAAGCAGGGGAUCUUCGGACCUUGCGCGAUUGAAUGAGCCGAUGUCGGAUUAGCUAGUUGGCGGGGUAAAGGCCCACCAAGGCGACGAUCCGUAGCUGGUCUGAGAGGAUGAGCGGCAACAGUGGAACUGAGACAGGGUCCAGACCCCUACGGGGGCAGGCAGAGGGGAAUGUUGGACAAUGGGGGCAAGCCGGAUGCAGCAAUACGGGGUGGGUGAGGAAGGCCUUCGGAUUGUAAAGUCCGUUGGUUGGGAAAGAAAAUCAGCAGAUGGAAAAGCCGAUGUACUGACGGUAACUAAAAAGAAAGCAACGGCUAACUUCGUG
rnacentral:rRNA from 1 species